rnacentral:lncRNA from 10 species
GGCCGCGAGGUAUGGGAACCGGUCCGCCGGGCCAGGCAGCGGUGCUAGGCAGCAGGGGCAGCGACGCCGCCGCCUUUCCCUUCUCCUGCCCCCGUCCCUGCUCCGCCGCGUCCUCGUCCUCGCUGGGUCCCCGCCGCCGCCGCCUCAGCCUCGGCGCUCCUCGGGUUUCUUCUCUCCAUCAAGGCCGGGCCGACCCGCAGGGACCAUCCCGGAAAGUGAGGGGUUGUUGCCGUUUCCCGCAGCUGUUGGUGGCCAUCUUUAAUCCUCCUCCUCCUCCUGCUUUCUCCACCUCCCGCUGGCUGUCUGACUGACUGACUGGAUCCUCCUCUUUCCCCUCCUGCUCCUCCUACUGAGCCGGCCGCAGAAAUUGCAGCCGCUCAGCUUCUACCCCCUCCUGCCUUUCCUUCCUCUUUCCUUACUUC